ACUCCUACGGGAGGCAGCAGUGGGGAAUCUUGGACAAUGGGCGCAAGCCUGAUCCAGCCAUGCCGCGUGAGUGAUGAAGGCCUUAGGGUCGUAAAGCUCUUUCGCCAGGGAUGAUAAUGACAGUACCUGGUAAAGAAACCCGGCUAACUCCGUGCCAGCAGCCGCGGUAAUACGGAGGGGUUAGCGUUGUUCGGAAUUACUGGGGCGUAAAGCGCGCGUAGGCGGACCAGAAAGUUGGGGGUGAAAUCCCGGGGCUCAACCCCGGAACUGCCUCCAAAACUCCUGGUCUAGAGUUCGAGAGAGGUGAGUGGAAUUCCGAGUGUAGAGGUGAAAUUCGUAGAUAUUCGGAGGAACACCAGUGGCGAAGGCGGCUCACUGGCUCGAUACUGACGCUGAGGUGCGAAAGUGUGGGGAGCAAACAGGAUUAGAUACCCUGGUAGGAUAGCG
rnacentral:rRNA from 1 species